CAUUGAAGCGGCGUGCUACAUUUGGUGAGUUCUGGUUGGAAACACAUGCAAAGAAAGGGUCGAGACCCCUAGAUAAAUUGGUUGGGAGUAGCAGGUCAGUUGAGAAUGGUUCGAGAGAAGACGAUGAGGUGGAAGACACCAUUCAGCAGCAAAAUGUGACACGAGGGCGAGUGAAGCUUAUAGCACAUAUGAUAAAUAUGUCGUUGAUAAAUAUGGAGAGGAUACUAGUUUACACCCUGAAUUUGACAUGGAAUUGUGGUCACAAACGGUCAGUGGAAAUAAAAAGGGUAGAUUGUAUGGGAUUGGCACCAUUGCUGACCCGCAUAACGUGAUUCCGGGAGCAUCGUCAAUGCCGAUUACCCAUAGUUCAAAUCUGCAAGAGAGAACUGACAGUGACGAGGUGCAACGUUUGAAGGAAAAAUUGCGGAGUUGGAACAAGAUAAGAUAGAGAAGCAUGUUGUGAUAGAGAAAAUCGAAGAAAGUGCGAGGGUGUACGCCGAAAUGAACGAGAGAAUUCAAUUGAUGUCACAAAAUCCGCCACCAACUUAGAUAUGUUGAACUUUAUUGUAUUUCUUUUGGAUCUUUAUCGUUGCUUUGGGUUAAUUUAGAUCUUUAUUGUUGCGU